rnacentral:rRNA from 1 species
CAGUCGUACCGACGGAAAAUCAGCUCUUUGAGUGCGGACUUGUGGGCUUACGUGAGUUUAAACACCUCGCUGUUUGCAACGUUCGUGUUUUUUGGGUGUACUUUUUCGUAUGGUAGGCCAAUGUCAGUUUCGAUCGCUAUAAAAUGACCGGCGGAAUGUAGCUUCGAUCUCGUAUUGAAGUGUUAUAGCCUCUGGUAGAUGUGGUGAUCGGGACUGAGGAUUGCAACGAAUACCUUUUGGGCUAUCCGUCUGAUCUCUGAAGGUUGCUUAGGUGCCGAAAGCGUGCUUACGGUUAUUUAAGUUGACAGUCAAAAGGUUAGAACGUGAUUAUA